GAUCAUGCUCAGGAUGAACGCUGGCGGCGUGCUUAACACAUGCAAGUCGAGCGAAGCAAUUUAAGUGAAGUUUUCGGAUGGAUCUUAGAUUGACUGAGCGGCGGACGGGUGAGUAACGCGUGGAUAACCUGCCUCACACAGGGGGAUAACAGUUAGAAAUGACUGCUAAUACCGCAUAAGCGCACGGUACCGCAUGGUGCAGUGUGAAAAACUCCGGUGGUGUGAGAUGG
rnacentral:rRNA from 1 species